GCAAAAAGUAAGGCGCUAAGCAACUCAGUGAGACCCUGUCUCUAAAUGAAAUAGAAAAAAGGGUUGGGGAUGUGGCUCAGUAGUCAAGUGCCCCUGGGUUCAAUCCCCAGUACUGAAAAACAAAACAAAACAAACCAACCAAACAAAGAAAAACCAAACCCAAACAAAUGAACAAAAAAAGAAGUUUCUGCCCCAUAGCUUGGUGAUUUUGAACCCUUUCUAUUUGUUUCUGGUAGGAAGGUGAGAUUAUCAUAUGGAUUUUAGAAAAGAAAAUAGGUUUAAGCAUAUCAUUAUAAACAGUAAUUCUCCACUGGGGACCAUUUUGCCUCCCUUCAAGGGACAUUUGGUCAUGUCUGGAGACAUUUUUGGUUGCCAUGCCUGGAAGUGGGUGCUAUUGGCUUGUGGUGGGUAGAAUCUGGGGGUGCUAUGAGGCUUCCAACAAUGCACAGGAGAGCCCCGCAGCCAAGAAUUAUCCUGAUCUAAAAUGUCAAUGGUGCUGGGGUUGAGAACCCCAUCCUAAACAAUGUUUCUGAACUUUUCUGUGCAGUGAUCAAUCUCAUACCUGUUUGGCCAAGAAAAUUCCAGUCAUACAAAUAACUCCUAACAAAAUAUUCUUCAGAACGUCUACACUCUCUGAAGGAACUUUGGAUUGGGC
rnacentral:lncRNA from 1 species